UACAGAGGGUGCGAGCGUUAAUCGGAAUUACUGGGCGUAAAGCGCGCGUAGGCGGCUUUUCAAGUCGAUUGUGAAAUCCCCGGGCUUAACCUGGGAACUGCAGUCGAGACUGUCUAGCUAGAGUAUGGGAGAGGGAAGUGGAAUUUCAGGUGUAGCGGUGAAAUGCGCAGAUAUCAGGAAGAACACCCGUGGCGAAGGCGGUUCUCUGGGACGGUACUGACGCUGAGACGCGAAAGCGUGGGGAGCGAACAGG
rnacentral:rRNA from 1 species